rnacentral:rRNA from 1 species
CCUACGGGAGGCAGCAGUGAGGAAUAUUGGUCAAUGGACGAGAGUCUGAACCAGCCAAGUAGCGUGAAGGAUGACUGCCCUAUGGGUUGUAAACUUCUUUUAUAUGGGAAUAAAAUGUUCCACGUGUGGGAUUUUGUAUGUACCAUAUGAAUAAGGAUCGGCUAACUCCGUGCCAGCAGCCGCGGUAAUACGGAGGAUCCGAGCGUUAUCCGGAUUUAUUGGGUUUAAAGGGAGCGUAGGUGGAUUGUUAAGUCAGUUGUGAAAGUUUGCGGCGCAACCGUAAAAUUGCAGUUGAAACUGGCAGUCUGGAGUACAGUAGAGGUGGGCGGAAUUCGUGGUGUAGCGGUGAAAUGCUUAGAUAUCACGAAGAACUCCGAUUGCGAAGGCAGCUCACUGGACUGCAACUGACACUGAGGCUCGAAAGUGUGGGUAUCAAACAGGAUUAGAUACCCCUGUAGUC